rnacentral:rRNA from 1 species
CUCUUUGGUGAUUCAUGAUAACUUAACGGAUCGCAUGGCCUUGCGCCGGCGACGGUUCAUUCAAAUUUCUGCCCUAUCAACUUUCGAUGGUAAGGUAUUGGCUUACCAUGGUUUCAACGGGUAACGGGGAAUUAGGGUUCGAUUCCGGAGAGGGAGCCUGAGAAACGGCUACCACAUCCAAGGAAGGCAGCAGGCGCGCAAAUUACCCAAUCCCGACACGGGGAGGUAGUGACAAUAAAUACUGAUACAGGGCUCUUUUGGGUCUUGUAAUCGGAAUGAGUACAAUUUAAACCCCUUAACGAGGAACAAUUGGAGGGCAAGUCUGGUGCCAGCAGCCGCGGUAAUUCCAGCUCCAAUAGCGUAUAUUAAAGUUGUUGCAGUUAAAAAGCUCGUAGUUGAACCUUGGGCCUGGCUGGCCGGUCCGCCUCACCGCGUGUACUGGUCCGGCCGGGCCUUUCCUUCUGGAGAGCCCCAUGCCCUUCACUGGGCGUGCGGGGGAACCAGGACUUUUACUUUGAAAAAAUUAGAGUGUUCAAAGCAGGCCUUUGCUCGAAUACGUUGGCAUGGAAUAAUAGAAUAGGACGUGCGGUCCUAUUUUGUUGGUUUCUAGGACCGCCGUAAUGAUUAAUAGGGAUAGUCGGGGGCAUCAGUAUUCAAUUGUCAGAGGUGAAAUUCUUGGAUUUAUUGAAGACUAACUACUGCGAAAGCAUUUGCCAAGGAUGUUUUCAUUAAUCAGUGAACGAAAGUUAGGGGAUCGAAGACGAUCAGAUACCGUCGUAGUCUUAACCGUAAACUAUGCCGACUAGGGAUCGGGCGAUGUUUCUAUCUUGACUCGCUCGGCACCUUACGAGAAAUCAAAGUUUUUGGGUUCUGGGGGGAGUAUGGUCGCAAGGCUG